UCUUGUCACCAACCAUUCCUACUUGGUGGCCAUGUACUUGGAAAAAGGCCGCAUGAUCUUUCUGGCUCCACUCAGUGUCUAAGGCACCCUGCUUCCUUUGCUUGCAUCCCACAGACUAUUUCCCUCAUCCUAUUUACUGCAGCAAAUCUCUCCUUAGUUGAUGAUACUGUGUUUAUCUCCCUUUAAAACCCUACCUAUCCUGAAUGGUCUGUCAUUGUCUGC
rnacentral:lncRNA from 1 species